rnacentral:rRNA from 1 species
CUGUAAGCCGUUGAAGGUGACCUGUGAGGGUUGCUGGAGGUAUCAGAAGUGCGAAUGCUGACAUAAGUAACGAUAAUGCGGGUGAAAAACCCGCACGCCGGAAGACCAAGGGUUCCUGUCCAACGUUAAUCGGGGCAGGGUGAGUCGACCCCUAAGGCGAGGCUGAAAAGCGUAGUCGAUGGGAAACAGGUUAAUAUUCCUGUACUUGGUGUUACUGCGAAGGGGGGACGGAGAAGGCUAGGCUAGCCGGGCGACGGUUGUCCCGGUUUAAGCAUGUAGGCGGAGUGACUUGGUAAAUCCGGUUGCUUAUCAACGCUGAGGUGUGAUGACGAGCCACUACGGUGGUGAAGUAGUUGAUGCCAAGCUUCCAGGAAAAGCCUCUAAGCAUCAGGUAACAUUAAAUCGUACCCCAAACCGACACAGGUGGUCAGGUAGAGAAUACUCAGGCGCUUGAGAGAACUCGGGUGAAGGAACUAGGCAAAAUGGUGCCGUAACUUCGGGAGAAGGCACGCUGGCAUUAGGUAAAGAGACUUGCUCUCGGCGCCGAAGCCAGUCGCAGAUACCAGCUGGCUGCAACUGUUUAAUAAAAACACAGCACUGUGCAAACACGAAAGUGGACGUAUACGGUGUGACGCCUGCCCGGUGCUGGAAGGUUAAUUGAUGGGGUCAGCCGCAAGGCGAAGCUCUUGAUCGAAGCCCCAGUAAACGGCGGCCGUAACUAUAACGGUCCUAAGGUAGCGAAAUUCCUUGUCGGGUAAGUUCCGACCUGCACGAAUGGCGUAAUGAUGGCCAGGCUGUCUCCACCCGAGACUCAGUGAAAUUGAACUCGCUGUGAAGAUGCAGUGUACCCGCGGCAAGACGGAAAGACCCCGUGAACCUUUACUAUAGCUUGACACUGAACAUUGAGCCUUGAUGUGUAGGAUAGGUGGGAGGCAUUGAAGUGUGGACGCCAGUCUGCAUGGAGCCAACCUUGAAAUACCACCCUUUAAUGUUUGAUGUUCUAACUCGGCCCCAUAAUCUGGGGUGAGGACAGUGUCUGGUGGGUAGUUUGACUGGGGCGGUCUCCUCCCAAAGAGUAACGGAGGAGCACGAAGGUUAGCUAAUCACGGUCGGACAUCGUGAGGUUAGUGCAAAGGCAUAAGCUAGCUUGACUGCGAGAGUGACGGCUCGAGCAGGUACGAAAGUAGGUCUUAGUGAUCCGGUGGUUCUGAAUGGAAGGGCCAUCGCUCAACGGAUAAAAGGUACUCCGGGGAUAACAGGCUGAUACCGCCCAAGAGUUCAUAUCGACGGCGGUGUUUGGCACCUCGAUGUCGGCUCAUCACAUCCUGGGGCUGAAGUAGGUCCCAAGGGUAUGGCUGUUCGCCAUUUAAAGUGGUACGCGAGCUGGGUUUAGAACGUCGUGAGACAGUUCGGUCCCUAUCUGCCGUGGGCGUUGGAAGAUUGAGAGGGGCUGCUCCUAGUACGAGAGGACCGGAGUGGACGAAUCACUGGUGUUCGGGUUGUCAUGCCAAUGGCAUUGCCCGGUAGCUAAAUUCGGAAGAGAUAACCGCUGAAAGCAUCUAAGCGGGAAACUUGCCUCGAGAUGAGUCUUCCCUGGGGCUUUAAGCCCCCUGAAGGAACGUUAAAGACUAUGACGUUGAUAGGCUGGGUGUGUAAGUGCAGCGAUGCAUUGAGCUAACCAGUACUAAUGAUCCGUGAGGCUUAACCU